UCGAGGGGAGCCCUUCUCGCUCCGGCUGCGGGAGGAGGCGUCGCACUCGCGGGCUCUUGCCCCGCCGGGGGACUUCAGCCACCCCGACAUCUGCUGGAAGAGUAGCACGGCGAGCUGUAGGCAGCGCAGGAGACUCCUGGAGCGCGCGGAGGACAACUUCUGAAGCCAGCGACAAGCGGUAGGACGAGAGGAGACGGCCUCGAGUUGCAUCAGCAACGCCGGUAGCCCCUCUGGGAUGACCUAUUUAAGAAGGGCUAAAAAAUGCUGCGCAGAAGCUGCGAUAGAGAAAACGCCAAAGGAUGGAUGAGCCAAUUCCAUGACCAUGUAUGGACAAAGGAAGGCCAAAGUCCAACUAGCGGACAGCGUGAGGAAGACUAUGAACAACCACCGGAGGGUGAAAAGACCCUAACCCUAAUUUUACUGCGCAUGCUUGGACUAUGCAAGUGAAUUCCAGGAACUCAUCCACGUAAGGCCACCCUUUUUAGAAUUCUGAUGAAUAUGUAUGAUUUUUCUGUAUAUGAACUGAGGUGCUUUGCUAACCCGUUGGAGCA